AGUGGCGGACGGGUGAGUAACGCGUGAGAAUCUGCCUUCAGGUCGGGGACAACAGAGGGAAACUUCUGCUAAUCCCGGAUGAGCCUUAGGGUAAAAAAUUUAUUGCCUGGAGAUGAGCUCGCGUCUGAUUAGCUAGUUGGUAAGGUAAAAGCUUACCAAGGCAACGAUCAGUAGCUGGUCUGAGAGGAUGAGCAGCCACACUGGGACUGAGACACGGCCCAGACUCCUACGGGAGGCAGCAGUGGGGAAUUUUCCGCAAUGGGCGAAAGCCUGACGGAGCAAGACCGCGUGGGGGAGGAAGGCUCUAGGGUUGUAAACCCCUUUUUCUUUGGGAAGAACAAAAUGACGGUACCAAAGGAAUCAGCCUCGGCUAACUCCGUGCCAGCAGCCGCGGUAAUACGGAGGAGGCAAGCGUUAUCCGGAAUGAUUGGGCGUAAAGCGUCCGCAGGUGGCAAUGUAAGUCUGCUGUCAAAACCCAGGGCUCAACUCUGGUCAGGCAGUGGAAACUACAUAGCUAGAGUUCGGUAGGGGCAAAGGGAAUUCCCGGUGUAGCGGUGAAAUGCGUAGAGAUCGGGAAGAACAUCGGUGGCGAAAGCGCUUUGCUAGACCGAAACUGACACUCAGGGACGAAAGCUAGGGGAGCGAAUGGGAUUAGAUACCCC
rnacentral:rRNA from 1 species